rnacentral:lncRNA from 1 species
AAAUCACCUAUCGAGUUGGGUAUGCGAAUUAACGAUGCACAAUAAGAGGCAUCUAGAGUCUUGAGCUUCUUUAAAGAUCCGAUGGAUUCAGGUAAUUCUUUAAUGGUCAUAGAUUUGAAAUGCAACUCAGUCAAUGAUGUUAACUUUCCAAUCCAAUUUGGAAUUUGUCUCAACUUAUGGCAUCCCGACAAUAACAACCGUGAUAAAGACAUGAGGGAGCCUAUAGAUUUUGGAAGUUGAGCAAGUUUUUCACAUCCUGUUAGGUCAAGGUGAGACAGAGAUGCUAAAUCACCUAUCGAGUUGGGUAUAAGAGUUAACGAUGCACAAUAAGAGGCAUUUAGAGUCUUCAACUUCCUUAGGGAUCCAAUGAAUUCAGGCAAUUCUUCAAUAGUCGUAAAAUUCAAAUGCAACUCAGUCAACGAGGUCAACUUUUCGAUCGAGUCUGGGAUUUGUCUCAAUGAGUGGCAUUUUGACAAUAAUAACGUCGGUAGAGACACAAGGGAGCCUAUGGAGUUUGGAAGUUGAGUAAGUUUUUUGCAUU